rnacentral:tRNA from 2 species
GAUGUGGUGGCUCAAUGGUAGAGCUUUCGACUCCAGCUUGAAGUUGUAAUCGAAGGGUUGCAGGUUCAAUUCCUGUCCAUGUCA